rnacentral:tRNA from 2 species
GCCUCUGUAGCUCAGUUGGUUUAGAGCAAUUGAUUCUUAAUCAGUAGGUCGCUGGUCCGAUUCCAGUCAGGGGCA